UGAGUAUCUUCAUGAAUGAUCUGGAAGAUGGGAUGGAGUGGACCCUCAGCAGGUUUGCAAAUGACACCAACCUCAGAGAGCAGUAGAUACACUGGAAAGUAGAGCUAAG